AAUACUUGCAAAACACAGUCAAACAGUGAGGUAGGAAGACUUGAUAGCAAGGAUGAAAAAGAUAAGAUAAACGAGUGGCUCGGCAGUAAAUGUUCUUUUUGUGCACGCAUCAGUGUGUUCUUACGAAUAACAGGACUAAGUGGUGUUCAAAUAUCCCCAAGCCUUCGUUAUCUCUGCAAAAUUCCAGCGCUGGAGUGGACAUGCAUGACUGAACUUUGAGAACAACCUCUGCAGCUGAGCUACAGCGCAACUACAGUGGAAACAAUGGAAAAAUCCACUGUCCUGAAAAGUGGAAACUUUCCACCGCCUGCAGCCGAGAGAUCAAACCCACAGGAAGUGUUCGAGCGAUGAGUUUCAAACCAAAAGAUGGCCGCAGGAAAGGCUGGUGGAAAAGAAGGAGGAAGAGUACAAGUUGCUUCAACAGCUUCUCAAGGAAAAAAAAAAAGUACUGCAAGUUUGAGGUGGUUUCCUUUUAUUUUACUGUAUACCCCUUCUCCAUUACAUUAGAGGAAAGUAAUUCAGUUUUUACUCCACUACAUGUAUCUUAAAAGCAUCAGUUACUAGUUACUUUUGUGGAAUAACUGUAAAACAUAAGAGGAUCUAAGAGGAUCCUAUGUUUUAAAUGUGUAAAGUAGAUUUUUGAACAAAUGUAGUGUUAACAAAAAAGAAGAGCUAGAAAUAGAGAAAAUAUAAGUUGUUUCUGUAGCUUUUAAAUGACACUUGAAUAUCUAAUCUAAUCAUGUACUUCCAGUUUGAGUGGUUUCCUUUCAUUCUACUUGACACCUUUACUCCAUUUCAUGAUGGAAGUAAGUAACGUAGUUUUACUCCACUACAUUUAUCUAACAGCAUUUGUAAAUAACUGUGUAAGUCGAUUUUUUUAACAAAGGUAUUAUUAGUAUUAAAGUAGAGUAAUUUAUCAACCUGUUGAUAAAAUAUGAUGCACCAUUAUUAAUUCAUUCACACAACAGCAGGAAGAAAAGGAAGCUAGAAUUGGCCCCACCCUGACUUACUACAACACUGAACUACAGCUUAUAUAGACCAAUAAUUAUCAUACUAUGAUUUAAUACAUUGAUAAGAGGUACGCUGCAUAGUGUGUGCUUUUACUUUUGAAAUUUUAAGCUCAUUUUGUUGCAUACAUGUGUUUAUUCUUUUAAAAAAUAUAAAAAUUUAGGAGCAAUACUGGGUCAACUUUGACCAGUACCCAUGGGUAGAACACCACUGUGCCAAUAAUCAUCCGGUGUAUGGAACAGAGUGAGACUUUGUGUUAAAAUCCAGGCUUGCAGCAGUUAUACAUCAGACAUUGCAGUGAUGAAUCCAACCAUGAGAAAAAAGGGGGUUUCCCCAGACGUCUGACUUCUCAUCCUUCCCACGACAGCAGUUUCAUGCAGCUGCGCAGUGCAGUGCAGCAUCCAGGCUGCUGAAGUGUGAUGGACGCCUGCUGCAGUGACCUUGAGACAGUCAGUGUUACAUCCUACUGCGCCAUCUGCUGUCCAAAUGCACUCAGUAAAAAACCAACACACACACCAUCAAGGGCCUUGAGCUGACAUUUCUAAAUAAGGGUCGAGUUCAUGAUAACAGUUUGUAUCGAUCGCUUAAACACUUUGUCCUCUCUGACAUCAUGAGAAGUCGGAAAUGACAUGCUCUGUUUGCAAAGUUCUCAAACUCUCACAAAACAUUAAACUCAUCCAAUGAAAGUAAAUAUUUCCCACAAACAUCAUAACUUGCGGUCAAUCGAAUAAAUUAUUUUAAAUCAAUCACUGCACAGUAAAAAAAACUAAAACAAUAUAAAGGUAUUGAAGCAAGCAAGCCAACAUGAAUUGUAUUAUUUUCUCCCCUCAAAAUUUUAGUAGGCAUAACCCUGUUGAACUCUGCACCAGCUAACUUUACACUUUACGAUGCUCUGUUGAUGUGCAGUAAAAACAAGAUAUUUUCAAAGGAAGUUUCACUCAUUUGAAUGGGCAGGUCUAUGUUUGUCUUUAAAAUGUACAACCUAUGGUAACUAAGUAUAAAACAUUUACACUUUCAAUAUGGUCCCGCUUUUGUUCUUAUAAAACUAAUAUGAAGAAUUAAACCAAAAAUCUGAAAUACACAGACUACUAAAAUGGCACUCAAUAGAGUACAUACCUCCGCCAAGGCCCAACAUUUACCUUGUGAAAGCACAUUUAAGUUCACCAGAGACAGUUUAUGAUUUGGAUCUGCACCAAACUAAUUAUUCUUUGAAAAAUUUACGAAAAUGUUUAAAAGCACAAGAAAGAGCAACUACGGUUCUGAUAUGGGCUCCUUCCUGACCAAUACCACAUCCUUCCAGUUCCCUGGUAAUCAGUCCUCCUAACUAACAGACAAAUAAACACAGACAAAUGUUUAAUUUCCUUUGGCGAAGGUAAAACUAUAUUGCUCUGUAUCAGAACAACGUUUUAAACUGAGAAAGGAGUAAAACUGUUAAAACAAAUACCAUGAAAAACAAUUAAAAUUACAGUAAAGAACCCAAAUUAAAUGUAUGGAUGAAAAUACACAAUGAUAUACCAAAAAAAAAAGUCUCUUUGCUCCAUCUGUGCAAAGAGCAACACUGAGGUGGGUAAAGACUGAAAGAUUGCUGUUUGGAGAUGUGUGCAAAGGAGCCUCUCACAGGUGCAUUACACACUCUUUGUUAUGCAAGACAUUUCUAGCAACUGUGAGUUGACAUUUUCCUUUUGUUUAGCUAAGUUAAACCAAUAGAAAUGAAAUUUAUGUGAGAUCUGUGUUAACUGUUUGAGAAAGGAUCUGAAAAAGGGUGUGAGCCCAAUGAAAAAGUUUAUGUUAGCGAAGACUUCUGCUAAGUGUGGUGAGGAAGAUAAAAGGGAUCUCAGAUUCAUCAAGUGGGUCUGACCAUCGAGAAUAAUAUAAAACGAAUAAAUAUUGUGUAAGCUGAUCACAUUCUUUGCAUAUUUGAUCAGAUGGAAAGUCAAGUAGAAAAGAAUAAAUUGCACUAGAGUAAAUAUACUUUCUUCAACCAAUAACUACAGACCAGACGGAAAUGUAAUGAAUUAUGUUUGAGUUCAGUCUUUCGUCCAGGCCAUUUAUAUGCAGCUUAUCUUUGCUAACCACAGAGCCUGGAAACAGUUGGCCUGUGUCUGGUAAAUGUCUGUCACCUGUGUGACAGGUUGUCUCUGGCCCUACUCCUGACAACUACCUGUGAAACGGUUGGAGGCAGCUGCACUGGAACUCUGUUCAUAAAAUGCUGGUGAAGGCAGCAGCCAAGGAGGAGUGAUAAAGGAGAGUUGUAGCAUGUUGCUGUCAACCAGUUUAAAAUAUUUUCCCAGAGCCAAAGCUUCCCUAGAUGUUGCAUUACAAUGUGAGGCAGCAUGGAUGGCAGUGGUGUGAGUGACCUUUACCCAACUGCGUGGUUUCUAAGGAAUUAGCCAAACUUUGUUUUAGUAAGUCCUCCUCAAACUGUUCAACAAUCUACUUUCACUUUUCUAUUGUUUGUGUGCAGGGUUUUUCAUAUUCAGUCUGUGGUGCAGAGAGUUUGUUUUCAUCCUACCUGGUUUAUCUGCUGUGAAGAUUUUAUAGUGAAUGUUUUUAAUAAAAUGAAACUGAAUUAGCUUUAUUAAUGUUUUUGUGUGUGGCCUACAUAUCAGUCUGAACGAUUGACCUAGCUCCUGAUGUUUUUGUCCUGAUGUCUGUUUGUUUGUUGGAUUACGGAGAACCUCCCUAACUGAUCUGAUGGAGGACUGCCGUAUGGGAAGAGAAAGAAGUCAUUUGAUUUUGGAGGGUGGUUGAUUAAGGGAAAAGAUCCAGGCAGGGGUAAGAUCAGAUAAAAUAAGAUAACCUCCCCGUUCGUGGUAAAAUCCAUAGACUGUUUUAAUCCCACCUCCUCCAUGUUAUAGGAUGAGAAAUGGACCAAACUAAAAACUCUGAGUACAGUAAAGUUCUCUAUAACGUGAUUUCUGUCAUUUUUUGUCUUAAUUAGUCAUUUGACAAUAUCAAAACAAGCUGAAACAUUACGAUUGACAGUUGAGACUGACUUGUUAUUGGUCGGGUGCGUGCACAGACAGGACGUCGCUAUCGCGGCUCCAUCGCUGGAUUCCGUCAAACCUCAUUAACUCUAGCUCUUUAACUGGUAGGCUCCUGCAGCCUUUAUCCUAAAGACAUUCUUUAAAAAUUGGAAUAAGUGACCUUCAGUCUAAUGGAUACUAAUCUGACUCAAAAAAAUGCAAGAAACCACAAAGAGGACAAAUCAAGGAAUGAUGUUGUCCUACCAAGAAGUCUAACUUCAUAAGCUUCAAAGUGACAGAAUACAGCCUUUUUAUUGUAUUGCAUGAAUUUACUAAUAAUUCAAUUACUACAAUAAA